rnacentral:rRNA from 1 species
UACGGGGGGGGCAAGCGUUGCUCGGAAUUACUGGGCGUAAAGGGCUCGUAGGCGGCCAACUAAGUCAUACGUGAAAUCCCUCGGCUUAACCGGGGAACUGCGUCUGAUACUGGAUGGCUUGAGAUUGGGAGAGGGAUGCGGAAUUCCAGGUGUAGCGGUGAAAUGCGUAGAUAUCUGGAGGAACACCGGUGGCGAAGGCGGGUCUCUGGGCCGAUACUGACGCUGAGGAGCGAAAGCGUGGGGAGCGAACAGG